rnacentral:ncRNA from 1 species
UGGGGAGAAAAUUAGAAAAUCUUAGUAUGCCUGCCUAUUCACAGUGAUGUUCUGCCACGGAUGGCAGAACAAGGCUUCACAAGCCAUGGAUGGCUUGUUGAACGCCGUUCACAUCACUUUGAGAAAUUCUAACUCAGGCAUACUUAGUUUUUCUUAUUUUCGGAC